CCUACGGGAGGCAGCAGUAGGGAAUUUUCGGCAAUGGGCGCAAGCCUGACCGAGCAACGCCGCGUGAGUGAUUAAGGCCUUCGGGUUGUAAAGCUCUGUUGUAAGGGAAGAACAUUCAGGAUAGGAAAUGAUCUUGAACUGACGGUACCUGACCAGGAAGCCCCG
rnacentral:rRNA from 1 species